rnacentral:sRNA from 1 species
ACUCCAGCUCUGGUAACUGAAGUCCUCUGUUUAUCCACAGAUUAGCUACAGCAUGGACAGAAUUAGUGCAAGCUUCUCAACAAUGUCCUGUUAAUGUGAAUCAAACCUGAGAACUUGUCCAUAGAAAGAUGUGUCAUUUCAUUUGCUUCCAGCCCCAUUCAGGAUCUAAUCAAAU